GAGUGAGUCCGCGAGGGAUAAUCUUCGCGGUCAAAAGGGAAACAACCCUGACCGCCUGCUAAGGUCCCAAAACGCAGCUCAGUUCGUUAGGAAGUUGUUGUGCCGUGACAGCCAGGAUGUUGGCUUAGAAGCAGCCACCAUUUAAAAAGUGCGUAAUAGCUUACUGGUCGAGCACAGCAGCGCCGUAAAUGAUCGGGAAUAAGCAGCGUACCGAAGCAGCGGAUGACGCCCUUGACCGGGCGUCGUGGUAGAUGAGCGUUGC
rnacentral:rRNA from 1 species